rnacentral:rRNA from 1 species
UACAGAGGUCUCAAGCGUUGUUCGGAUUCAUUGGGCGUAAAGGGUGCGUAGGCGGUCCUGUGCGUCGGUGCUGAAAGCGCCCGGCUUAACCGGGCGAGGCGUGCCGAUACGAUGGGACUUGAGGGGCAGCGAGGGUGGCGGAACUCCUGGUGUAGUGGUGAAAUGCGUAGAGAUCAGGAAGAACACCCGUGGCGCAAGCGGCCACCUGGCUGCCAACUGACGCUGAGGCACGAGAGCGUGGGGAGCGAACCGG